CCCUUAGUAGCUCAGACAGUAAAGCACCUGCCUGCAAUGCAGGCGACCUGGGUUCUAUCCCUAGGUUGGGAC
rnacentral:tRNA from 1 species